UCGACCGCAUUAUAAAUGAGGGGCGUUCGCAUGGUAACAUGCGUUUCAUAAUCUGGCUGUAUGCUGGAACAUCCGUUCACAAAUCCUUCAUAGUAAGAAUUUAGUGAUGUAGAAUCUGUUGGGACUCGUCUCAAUUAUAUUGAGGCAGUAAAACUUCAACAGUGCGGACAAUCAGCAGGGAAGUCUGCCGUCGGCGGACCCCUCAACGACUAUACGCCGGACCCCCAAUUUCGGGGGAUGAUAUAGUCUGAUCUUCAUAGCGAUAUGAAG
rnacentral:ncRNA from 1 species